UUUGGACUUUUUUUAGUGCUUGAAUAUUUCAAAAAAGGUUUCUUACCGUACAUUUCUAUGUAUUUAUAGAUCUUCACCUCCUCACGAUUUGCCUGUCCGGCAGGCGGCUCUACUCCUGCCUUCCCCUAGGAAGCGCAGAGCUGCCCCCACACAGCUUCAAUUAGGGGAAGAGCGGGAUGUGGAGGUUAGGCCGAAGAGGGCCAGACUGGCAGGAUGCAGGAGUGAAAAUCAAUGUUCACCUCCUCAUGCUCUGCCUGUCGGGCAGGUAAUUUUCUUGCGACCUCCACCCCUGCGCGUCUCGAGGAAGCACUCUGCUCCUUUCUCGCAGGGAGUGGAGGUUAGCCCCAAGAAAGCCAGACUGGCAGGAUGCGAGAGUGAGAAUCAUCUGCAUGCCCAGCAGGCACCUCCUCCGGCAACUCCUCCUGCAGAUGGGUCAGUUCAAAUAUUUUGGAAAAGACGAAGUGUACAAAAGCACAUUUAAUUCCCAUCACAAGAGACAACAGGACACAUCAAAUAAAACUUGUUUUAAUCAAAUGUGUUUUUAAAGUCUAUUGAUUUAAACAGACAAUCCACAGAAUAAUGUGAGAUUUCCGACAAAUUGAAACGUUACCUUUCUAUUGCAGAAUGACUUAUGUGAGUGUAUAAAGUUUGUGAGAAGGAGCUAUUUUAACUCAACUAAACUGCAGAAUAACUGGUGACUUAUAUAUAACCUUUGUAUAGCCUAUGACAGUGGUUCUCAACUCCAGUCCUCGGGACCCACUGCUCUGCAUAUUGUGCAUGUCUCCCUUAUUUAACACACCUGAUAAAGAUCAUCAACUCGUUAGGAUAGAUUCCAUGAACUGAACUGAGUGUGUCAGAUAUGAGAGACAUCCAAAAUGGCAGAGCAGUGGAUCCCGAGGACUGGAGUUGAGAUUGAGAACCACUGGCCUAUGAUAUAAUGAUGAAGCCGUUGCCUCUUUGUCUCUACUGUAAAUGUGCCCCUCUCGCCAUAGUGAGAUUUCAAUUAAGUAAGCUUUUAUUGUCAUAUGUGAGGACAUACAGUGGUACAAAAUAUUGUAUCUCUCAGGACCAUGGUGUUACAAAUAGUGACAUGAGGAAACAACACAGACGGUUUCAGCAGUAACAACAUAAACAAACGGCUUUCUUGGAAUAAACGUAUCACAAAAAAUCAAUAACAAUAGUGUAGUUUAUUUCUGAUAACAAGCAAAAUAACAAGUAGAUUACCUUAAUCAUAGCUAAAGUGUAUCAAAACUACUCCGAGCUAAUGUUACUGUAUUAAUGUAUACAAUUUUAACAGAUCG